rnacentral:RNase_P_RNA from 1 species
GGCAAGGUACUGCUUUUAGUAGUGACGGCAGACAAAAGAGCUAAGGUUUCGGCUAUGCUUGAGUAGUCUUGAAAAGUGCCACAGUGACGAAGUAAUAUAGGAAACUGUAUUAGUGGAACGCGGUAAACCCUGCGAGCAGGUAACCCAAACUUUGGUAGGGGCGCUUCAUGACGGAAAUGAACUAAUCAUGGGGGCGAGUUUUUAACUCGGAGAUAGAUGAUUACCACCGAUUCUAAUUUUCCUGAAUUAGAUGACGUACAGAACGUGGCUUAUAGAG